rnacentral:rRNA from 1 species
GACAGAGGGUGCAAACGUUGUUCGGAAUUACUGGGCGUAAAGAGCGCGCAGGCGGUCGGAUAAGUCGAAUGUGAAAGCCCCCGGCUCAACUGGGGAGGGUCAUUCGAUACUGUUCGACUCGAAGGCAGGAGAGGGAAGUGGAAUUCCCGGUGUAGUGGUGAAAUGCGCAGAUAUCAGGAAGAACACCCGUGGCUAAGGCGGCUCUCUAGUACGGUACUGACGCUGAGACGCGAAAGCGUGGGGAGCGAACAGG